rnacentral:rRNA from 1 species
CCGGUUCAUCCUGCCGGACCUGACUGCUAUCGGACUGAUGCUAAGCCAUGCGAGUCUUGUAGUAAUACAAGGCAGACGGCUCAGUAACACGUAGUCAACCUACCCUAUGGACAAGAAUAAUCUCGGGAAACUGGGCAUAAUUCUUGAUAGAUCAUAAUGCCUGGAAUGGUUUAUGGUUAAAAUGAUUCGUCGCCAUAGGAUGGGACUGCGGCCUAUCAGCUUGUUGGUGAGGUAAUGGCCCACCAAGGCGAUUACAGGUACGGGCUCUGAGAGGAGAAGCCCGGAGAUGGGUACUGAGACACGGACCCAGGCCCUAUGGGGCGCAGCAGGCGAGAAAACUUUGCAAUGUGCGAAAGCACGACAAGGUUAAUCCGAGUGAUUUCUGCUAAAGAAAUCUUUUGCCAGUCGUAAAACCACUGGCGAAUAAGGGGUGGGCAAGUUCUGGUGUCAGCCGCCGCGGUAAAACCAGCACCUCAAGUGGUCAGGAUGAUUAUUGGGCCUAAAGCAUCCGUAGCCGGCUUUGUAAGUUUUCGGUUAAAUCCAUGUGCUCAACGCAUGGGCUGCCGAAAAUACUGCAUGGCUAGGGAGUGGGAGAGGUAGACGGUACUCAGUAGGAAGGGGUAAAAUCCUUUGAUCUAUUGAUGACCACCUGUGGCGAAGGCGGUCUACCAGAACACGUUCGACGGUGAGGGAUGAAAGCUGGGGGAGCAAACCGGAUUAGAUACCCGGGUAGUCCCAGCCGUAAACGAUGCAGACUCGAUGAUGCAUUGGCAUAAUAGCCAAUGCAGUGUCGCAGGGAAGCCGUUAAGUCUGCCGCCUGGGAAGUACGUACGCAAGUAUGAAACUUAAAGGAAUUGGCGGGG